rnacentral:rRNA from 1 species
UACAGAGGGGGCUAGCGUUAUUCGGAAUUAUUGGGCGUAAAGGGCGCGUAGGCGGCCAUGCGUGUCUUCCGUGAAAUCCCUCGGCUUAACUGAGGACGUGCGGAAGAAACUGCAAGGCUCGAGUCCGGGAGAGGGGGGUGGAAUUCCCAGUGUAGCGGUGAAAUGCGUAGAUAUUGGGAGGAACACCGGUGGCGAAGGCGGCCCCCUGGACGGUAACUGACGCUGAGGCACGAAAGCGUGGGGAGCAAACAGG